GUGGGAGAGCCAGAGGGGGAGAGGAAAUGAGAGGGGCCAGGGCCUUGCUCCUUCUCCUGGGGAGGGAGCUGUGGCAGAUGGGGAGUCAGUGGGAGGGCACUGAGGUGAGGCCUUGGUGGGGAGACCCCGGAGCAGAGGAUCUAGAACAGAGACCACCGUCACUGAAGCUACCACAGCAGCACUGGUACCCAGCAACAAGGAGCCCCUGACACGUGGAUUUCAAAAGGGGCUGCUGCCAAACAGGAGGCUGUGCCCAAACCGGGAGUUCCUGCUGACAGCUGCCGUUCUUCACGCAGGAAGAAAUUACAGCAAAAGGGUAUGACAACGGAGCAAAACCCACUGGCUAAUGGGCUGCAUCUUGGUGGAAGAGCUAACCAAGUAUUUUGCUUUGGUAUUCACCUCCUGCAUGCCCUCUGGGGUAGGACUUUCCCUAAAUCUUGUGAAGUCGAAGCGGAUGUGGGAAUCCUGUCUCUGAGUCUGGAAAAACCUGCAGCCGUACCUUCCUCUUAGUGUCCUCUCUGUUUCCACACCUGCUGCCUUUGGCUCUUCGUGAACAUUGCUUACAGGGAACAUCGUCUUCAUUUCUGCUUCUUCUCCAGACAGGGGAAUGUGCUCUCUGUAAAGGCACUGUGGUGGGGACCAGAAGUGUGGCAGUCCGGGGGAACCCAGGAAAAGGAAGAGCCCCUUGGGCUGCCCUGAAUCCACACGAGGAGCUGGCUGUAGAAAAUAUCCUCCUCUCCCUUGCUCUCCUCCUGCCUGAUGAGAGCUAACAGAAGGGGGUGUUGCAAACGCUCAGCACCAUUGGAGGGUGCUGAGGAUCUCAGAAAGCCCGGACAGAGGAGGUUUCUGCUCUGUUCCCUACCAUCUCUUGCUCUGCAGAUGGAGCAAAGGAAAAGUGGGGCUGUGUUUUUUGGGGGGAAGGCAGGAAUCUCCAGAAGUGACGUACCAUGGUGCUGUGCCAUGCCCUUCCCUGCCUGUGCUGGGGACACGUGCCUGGUGCAGCUGCCAUCAGCCUCCCUGGUGUGAGAGCAGGAGCUGGCAGUCCCCGUGCGCAGGUAACGCUGGCACACGGCCGCCUCACAGAGUGACUUUAUUUCUAGACUAUGUAAGACAGCCGGGAGUGACGUCGCCAGGCACCAAGCAUUUAUUAUCGCCCUAAAAUAAGCUGUGGGAUGCAUCCCAUGCACGUUCACCCACUCAAUGAAACUCCUGCAGUCAUAGCUGGAAUUAGCUGCUCACGCCUAAUGGAAAAAAAGAGAAGUCCGCUCCUAAAUUGGCAGUUCUGUGCAGGGACUGGGGGGCUCCAUCGGGAAGGCCACUUGGAUGGAGAUGCACGCCAUGCAUCCCCAGCAGCUGACGAGGAGCCGCUGAGCUUGGGGAUGUGCCCAACUAAGGUACGCGUGCAGCGAGGAAUUCGACGGGUGGAUUCUCUGACCAUAGCUACGAUGCUCCCCCUGUGAUGCUUGCUCCAGGGAAUUUUAAUCUGCAUCAUUAUGCUGAUUAGCUUCUGCACGCGGGUGAGCCUGGAGGCUUUACACAGGGAGCAGCAGGCUGUCCCCAGCCCUCGCCUCCCCUUGCGCAGGUGCUCUUAGGGGGAGCUUUGCAUCAUCUCAUCUCUUCCUUUGAACCCAGGAAGUUGAGCCCAAGGCCAACCUAACCCACAGCAAGGAAAGCUUCAACUCGAGCACUCGGGCAGCUCCCCCUGCACAGGCAAUGCUCGCCCCACGCCUCCCCCUGCUCGCUUUCUGCCCACCAGGUCCCACUCCCCCACUAGGGAGGAUCGCGGGGCCUCGCACUCACCGCUGUGGUCCUGCCCCUUGCAGCUGUGCUCGUGCUGGGGGGUGCCGGAGUCCGAGAGCGACAGGGCUGGGCUGCGAGCCUCCGCGUCCGCCAGCAGGUUGAAAUCCAUGGGGCAGGAAUGGGCAGCAGAGGAGGAGGAAUCUGAAAAAGCAGGCACGGGGUGGUUAGGGAGACGGACCUGUGUUCCUGACCUCUCCCCACCCGCUCGGGGAGGGACCUGCCAACCCUUGAGGAGAGGCCUAGGGAGAGCAAGGGAUCCUUGUGUGAUCCUCGGACCCCCUCCGAGUUUCCUGGCUGGAAAAUGGAGAUGCCAGGCUUUCUGCUGAGCUCCCCUAUAAAUCAAAGAUCAUCUAGCGGCACUUCUAUUUGCAGCCUUCAGAGAAAGAGCCUCCAAUUUAUAGGUGACAUUCAGACUGAAAUAGCAACGCCGGAGCAUGCUGUGUAACGGAGAUCUGAGGAAGUGGUUCUGGGCCAGCCAAGGGCUGUUAGCACCUUCCCCAGACAUCCCGCCUCUCCCCAGCCUCCUGCUGCAGCUUCCCUGUGCUCUCCUUCACUUCUCAGCAAGCUGGCCGGGCACAAGCAAUGCUUGGAGACCGUGAACGUGGACAAACACAUGUGCACACCCAGCAGAAAGCAGCCCCUGCGUGUGGCACUAGGAUGAAGGCACAUUGGCCUGCACGGAGGCUACCACGAGCUGGGUCAGUGCAAGUGGACUCCUGUUGGUUACAAGAGGACCUCUGGAGCCUGAAUUAACAUGGGAAUCGCAUUACACGCCCUUGGGUGCUGGGGGGAUGAGUAAGCCUGGCUGCAGCAGCAGCUCGCUUCCAGCUUUGGGUCAUCUUGACCAAAGGCUCCCCAGCUCCUCUUCUGUGGCUGUGGGCCACCUCCCUCACUGAAAGCAUCCUAGCUGGGGAGCUGCUCCCCACAGUGUGGCCAAGACCAGGACUCCCCAACCUUCCUUUUCCAUGCUUUUCUGUCCCAGGGUCAAUUAUUCCAGUCCCACUCCUCUGGGCCUCCAUGCCCUCCACCUGUGACUAGGUUGCCUGGAAGGGUUUGGUUGAGAGCUGCUCUAUCCAGGACUCUGUUGGAGUCUCCCGAAGAGGCAGGAGUGAAGCAGUAGGUGCUACCAGCCCAGCCACGUCACCUCAGCAAGGUGAGCAGGCCCCAUGUUAGGCCCUAAGUCCAAGUUUCAGCUCACAAUGCUGCCGCACACAGUAUGAUGUGUGGUUGCCAGUGCGCACUGGUUUAAUGGUUUCUGAAGGCUUCAAGGAGAGCGGCUGGGCCCAGCAGUUUCUAAAGCUCCUGUCACCCCAGCCAGGCAGCCUGUCACUCAGUGGCUGUAAACACGUGCCAGGACCAGGGACCUCCAGGUACAGGGCUGUGGGACCAGGUGUUUGGGAUUUCCGAGCUACAGGUUGUGGUCAGUUGGGAAGGUUGGUGGAGGAUUGCACGACCCCUCUAAUCCACGCGUGUUGGGGCAGGGCUGACUGGAGGCAGCAUUUCAUCUGGUCUGCGCUAGCCUUUAAACAUGUAAACAAGAGAUUAAUAACAUAGCUUUUGCACCUCCUUUGGAGGUGGAUGACAGUGACUAAGAAUGUAUUUUCAGAGCUGUCUAAAGCCUCCUGUCAAUUUGAGCAGGGCUGCUGCUGGGGCCCUUGGCAAAGGCAGCCCCUGUACCUGCAGAAUGCCUCCAAGGCCACGGCAAGAGAAGCCAUUCCUAGCGGCUGUCCUGCUGGUUUCUGCAGCAGGCCAUGGUCACAACUCCCCCAGAAGUUCUCCUCCCUGAUGCCCCUCCAUCCCCAGCCCCUGCUGAACCUCAGUGCUGGCCCCAGCCCCGUUCUGAGAGCAGCAUCCCUUGCUGGUUUCCCAGACCUUUGCCUCCUCCGGGCUUUUUGUCUCCUGUCGGACAGAAGUGGCUCCGUGUUUGCCGUGGGACUGGUUUCCAUUUCCCCCCCAUGGCUGUCUGACCUUUGGUGUCUGCAGGCCGCGUGAGCUCCCGGCGGCAGCGGGGCACAGCCCUGUUGCUUUCUGCCAUGUGUACGCACACAACACAGUGUGACGGGGGCUGUGUUUUCUUUAAUACCUUUGCAUGGAGUAAGGAGAGUCCAUCUGCUGCUGAUAUUGCCAUGGCUUUUAGCAUGGCUCUUGGAAUUAUGCAGAAACGCGCAGUGAAUUAAUUCGCUGGAUUAAGUCUUGAUUAAGAUGUGUGUCACUUUGCUGUCUCAGAAUUUAUUAAGAGCCCUUCUUGAGGCGGCGGCAGAUGGAAUUUCUGCCCAAUGUUUGUAGAUGAUAAUUUCCCCUCUUCUACAGCCAUUUGCAUAUGAUUGCAUCUGUCAAGCACAAUUUCCUCUCUUCGAGGGCUUGACUCCACACUGGACCGGAUUUAAGGAGGAAUUCAGACUCCUGCCUCAUUGUAACUGCAGGACAGCAUCCUCCUGUGCAUGGUCCUGUUUGCCUCAAGACUCUUGCUCGUCUUGCAUCGGUUUCAUCUGUGCAAACUGGGGUGGAGAUGCAGAAACUGUGAGGGGAGCAGUUUUACAGCCGCCUUUAUAAGUGUAAAUGACAACAUAAGGCAUAAGG